rnacentral:rRNA from 1 species
UACAGAGGGUGCGAGCGUUGUCCGGAAUCACUGGGCGUAAAGGGCGCGUAGGUGGUGGCUUAAGCGUGCGGUGAAAGCUCGGGGCUCAACUCCGAGUCGGCCGUGCGAACUGGGCUCACUGGAGCAUAGUAGAGGCAGGUGGAAUUCCGGGUGUAGCGGUGGAAUGCGUAGAUAUCGGGAGGAACACCAGUGGCGAAGGCGGUUGCCUGGAGCUUUGCUGACGCUGAGGCGCGAAAGCGUGGGGAGCGAUCCGG